AGGUACCGCUCUUUUUUCUCUCGGUCGCGCCCGGUACAGGUGCAUCACCGCAGGG
rnacentral:ncRNA from 1 species